UUUGUUUGUUAAUUAAUUAUGGUUAAUUAUUAAUAUUAUAUGAUUAAUAUAUGAAUUUUUGUGAAUUUUGUGUUAUCUAGUUUAUUGAGCUGAAUACUCGUAUGUGUUCGUAUUUGAGAGAUUUCAAUUUCUAUAUGCUCAGGAGAAAAUAUAGUUUAUUUGGAUAUUUUCAUAUCGAUUUAUGGAAUGUUAGAUGAUUUUAUAAUCGAUUUACGGAUUUAAUUGCGUAUAUUUAUAUUUAAUUAUUGAUUAUUUG
rnacentral:lncRNA from 1 species